UUGACCUCAAAUCAGGUGGGACUACCCGCUGAACUUAAGCAUAU
rnacentral:rRNA from 3 species